UACAGAGGCCCCAAGCGUUACUGAGAAUCACUGGGUUUAAAGAGUGCGUAGGUGGCGCGUUAAGUCCGUUGUGAAAUCCCUGGGCUCAACCCAGGAAAUGCUUCGGAUACUGGCGUGCUUGAGGCUAGUAGGGGUCACUGGAACUGACGGUGGAGCGGUGAAAUGCGUAGAUAUCGUCAGGAACGCCAAUGGUGAAGACAGGUGACUGGGCUAGAUCUGACACUGAGGCACGAAAGCGUGGGGAGCGAACGGG
rnacentral:rRNA from 1 species